rnacentral:misc_RNA from 1 species
CCGCCAUUGUGGUUGCGCAUCCACAACUCGUUGCCGCGCGCGUGCCUGCGCUCGCUGCACUGGAGAACAGCACCCAAAAGGGUGAGUCGCUGCAGGACACCUCGCGCGUUUCAUCAAGCACCUUCACCCGUCAGCGUAUAUACACGUACACGCGCGCCGUGCUAGACGUCAGUCGGUCAGAUCUAUCACUACCGCAACCACUGGCACUACCAUAGAAAAGAAGGGGUCUGAACACGCGAUACACGCAUCGUAUUGCGAGCGUGGUUUAGAAUCGCCAUCCAUUAGCCACAGUAAUACCUCCGAGAGAGCUGGGCGUUCUUCCCGGCCCUCGCCCUCUUUGCGGCGGCGGCGGCGGUUCACGUGCCUCAGCGUCUCACGCAGACGGCGUGGAGGAGAGUCUUCUUUAUCUUCUUGACGUGCUUUUCAUCCUCCUCUCUCCUGCUCCUCAAGAGGGCGCUGUGUGUGUGAUCUUGCGCGUGGGUUUUUGAGUAAGUGUGCUUGCAGCAUGUCCUCGCCGCGCGACACUGUCUCGCCGGUGCAGGCCAUCGGCGAGUCGAGGGCAGGACACUCUCCGUUUACCGAGCAGCUCCCCACGGCCUCCCCGCGAAGUAGCCACACGGCCGCCGUGCUUGAAACGGCAAGCGCCAGCAGCCCAUCACUGUCGUCGUCGGUAUCGCGGUCGAACGAGUUUGCGCUUCCUCGUCGAGACAUGACGGUGGGCGGCUCUAAUGGGCCGCGAGUCAUUCCGUUCUACGCCGCCGCGGCACCGAUCAACAAGGAAUCGAGCGGCGGCAACGCAGGUAGCCAGCAGCGCCCGUCUUCAGCCGCCGUAUGGACGCGAGCAAAUACUGCUCCCGGUUCAUCCUCGCGGACGGUCUCCAUCCCGAGUCUGAGCGACACCACCUCGGGCGCUGCUAUCCUCCGUCCCAUACUGGCGGAUCACGAGUUGCCUGGAAAGCUGUUCGGCGCAUCCGGUGCGCUGCGGCAGAGCGGCAGUCGAGAACGAAGUCUGGCGGACUACCGUAGAGGGUCGCUUCCCAGCAUUGGCGCUCCCACCGCCACGACCGCCACCCGCUGCGACCCGUCAGGGGGUUCAGAGCACCCAGGCGACUUCAGUUCCGUUGAUGGGCUCACCAGCUUCAAGGCCACGCGAGGCGGCGGCCAACCAAUCGAGGACAGUCUCUUCUACGCCGACGUGCUGUUCAUGUGGAUGGGCGUGAAUCACACACAGUACUUCACCUACGACCCCAGCGCCGACGUGUAUCGGCUAGCACCGGACACGGGUGGCGCCAUGCAGCAGCAGGCCGCCGAGGUGUUUCAAGAGUGCGGGGUGCUGGCGCGACACAUUGACGUGGCACUCCGCCAACCGAGCGCCACCGGCGACUCGUUUCUUCAGCAGAGUCUGCGCAGUGCGUUGCGCCGGCAGCUGACCCAGUACCACUAUCUCGUGUCUAUGCUGCGCGAACGACGCAGCCCACCGCUGCACAUAGGCGACCUUGUUGUCGCCUACAAACGUGUGCAUCCCAAGUUGUGGGUGAUGGACUGCGUUCUCCGCGAGACGCAGCAUGUCAAGGGUGGGGAGUUGGCCUCCAGGAUGCAGCAGCUCGUCCAGCACGGCUCGCAUCGCCUUGCCUCUCUCCUGCAUGAUAUCUAUAUCGAGACGGUGAGUCCGCUGCUGCACAUGACGGUAGAGAGCAUCACGAAGGGGGACGUGUGCGACCCGAUGCGCGAGUUCUACAUUGUCCCCAUGGACAGCAUCGAUGACGCGGCGGAGAACUUCUGGGUCGCCAAGUACGUUCUCAACACGGAGAUGCUGCCGAGAACUGUCCCAGAGAGCGUCGCGCAGGACAUCCUGCUCGUGACCAAGAACAUCCGCUUCAUCUGCCGGUGCUGCCGCGCCAAGCAGUGGAGGAUGGACCCGUCACUUGUUGCCGAGGCGGAGCGAGCGACAUUUGACACGCUGCCGGCCGUUGUGCACCGUGCGCUCGUCUUCACCAACACGGCGGUGCUUCGGCUCAUAAGGGAGGAGUUUCAGCUGCACGAGGUGCUGCGACUGGUAAACGCCUUCCUCUUGGUCGGCUACGGCGACUUUUACGAGCUACUCAUCACGAAACUGGAGCCGGUCCUAUCGAAGAUGAGCAGCGCUGUCCCGGUGUCGGUGGUGCGAGACCAGGUGCUAAGUGCGCUGGCGGAGAUCGCCCCGUACGCGAGGCACCUCGACACGGACCGCUUCGCCCUGCUUCACUGCGAGCUGGUGAAGGAUGAGGCAAAGCUGGGCUGGGACACGUUCGUCAUGACAAUGCCGGUGCCCUCGCCUCUCAACAACGUCUUCGAUCACGGUGCCAUGAAAGUCUACCGCCGACUCUUUCGGCUGAUGUUUCGCGUCAAGGUGGCGGAAGUAGCUCUGAAGAAGGCGUGGCGGCAGAACGUGGUGCUGGACCGUCUGAUCAGCAGCGUGCAGCGCACUAUGCAGGAGAGGUCGGCGUGGCGCGAAGUAGCUGCUGAUGCGCACCUCCUCGGACUUCAGCUCAACCACUUCGUCAAUAACCUGUGGUCCUACCUGGUGGCGGAAGUGUGCACCGUGGCACAAGACCUGCUCCUCAAGGCGGUGGAGCAGUGCGCCUCCAUGGACGACAUCCGCACAGCGCACAACACGUAUUUGGCCUACCUUACGCAGCGUUCGCUGUUGCACACAGACUGCGCGACGAUCCGCAUGAACGUGGAGAACAUCCUCACAAUUGUGCGGGAGUACUGCGGCUCGCAGGCGUUGCUCGCGUCCCUUUUACAGCGCGGCUCAGGCGACCUGUCCACGGUCAAGCGACAGUAUCAAGGCCUCACCGACGACUUCCACCGUGAAAUGUCCUCGCUGCUGACGACGCUUGAGGAGCAGCACGUCAACUUCGACUUCCUCAACUUCUUGCUGCUCAGGCUCAACUUCAACCGCUUCUACCACGACACCUCGGACACGGCGUACAACACAGAGUUUUAGCGCCGGCAGCAGACGGCUGAUGCUGGGAGUGGUGUCGGUGAUAAAAGGAGAGACGCCACUUUUCUGCGCCUCUACUCCCCCUCCCUCCAUGUAGCGCAACCAGCCCAGACAUCCACGCAUACGUAAACGGGUACAUGGAUUUUCCAGACGCGCCACAAGGAAGUUGUCCUUCUUGCCCUGAUUUCAUGGGAGCUAGCAUACCAACCCACGGCGCACCUUUCUGG